rnacentral:rRNA from 1 species
CCUACGGGUGGCAGCAGUAGGGAAUAUUGCUCAAUGGGGGAAACCCUGAAGCAGCGACGCCGCGUGGAGGAUGAAGGAUUUAGGUUUGUAAAGUUCUUUUGAGAGGGAAGAUAAUGACGGUACCUGACGAAUAAGCACCGGCUAACUACGUGCCAGCAGCCGCGGUAAUACGUAGGGUGCAAGCGUUAUCCGGAUUCACUGGGCGUAAAGAGUGCGUAGACGGAUUAUCAAGUCAGAAGUGAAAACCUUGAGCUUAACUUUAGGACUGCAUUUGAAACUGAGAAGCUAGAGUGUAGGAGAGGUAGGCGGAAUUCCUGGUGUAGCGGUGAAAUGCGUAGAUAUUAGGAGGAACACCAAUGGCGAAGGCGGCUUACUGGACUGUAACUGACGUUGAGGCUCGAAAGCGUGGGGAGCAAACAGGAUUAGAUACCCGGGUAGUC